GACGAACGCUGGCGGCGUGCCUAAUACAUGCAAGUUGAGCGAUGAAGAUUGGUGCUUGCACCAAUUUGAAGAGCAGCGAACGGGUGAGUAACGCGUGGGGAAUCUGCCUUUGAGCGGGGGACAACAUUUGGAAACGAAUGCUAAUACCGCAUAACAACUUUAAACAUAAGUUUUAAGUUUGAAAGAUGCAAUUGCAUCACUCAAAGAUGAUCCCGCGUUGUAUUAGCUAGUUGGUGAGGUAAAGGCUCACCAAGGCGAUGAUACAUAGCCGACCUGAGAGGGUGAUCGGCCACAUUGGGACUGAGACACGGCCCAAACUGCUACGGGAGGCAGCAGUAGGGAAUCUUCGGCAAUGGACGAAAGUCUGACCGAGCAACGCCGCGUGAGUGAAGAAGGUUUUCGGAUCGUAAAACUCUGUUGGUAGAGAAGAACGUUGGUGAGAGUGGAAAGCUCAUCAAGUGACGGUAACUACCCAGAAAGGAACGGCUAACUACGUG
rnacentral:rRNA from 1 species